CCUGGCUUAGGACGAACGCUGGCGGCGUGCUUCAUACAUGCAAGUCGAACGAUAAGGUCUCUUCGGAGAUACAUAAGUGGCGGACGGGUGAGUAAAAUGUAGAGAAUCUGCCCUAGAGAUGGGGACAACAGUUGGAAACGACUGCUAAUACCCAAUAUGAGCGUAGCUGAAAUGCUAUUCUUGAAAACUCCGGUGCUCUGGGAUGAGUCUGCAUCUGAUUAGCUAGUUGGGGGUGUAAUGGACCACCAAGGCGACGAUCAGUAGCUGGUUUGAGAGGAUGAUCAGCCGCAAUGGGACUGAGACACGGCCCAUACUCCUACGGGAGGCAGCAGUAGGGAAUUUUGCGCAAUGGGGGAAACCCUGACGCAGCAAAACCGCCGCGUGAUUGAUGAAGCCCUUCGGGGUGUAAAGAUCUGUCAGUGGGGACGAAAAAUGACGGUACCCACAGAGGAAGCAUCGGCUAACUCCGUGCCAGCAGCUGC
rnacentral:rRNA from 1 species